UACGGAGGGUGCAAGCGUUAUCCGGAUUCACUGGGUUUGAAGGGUGCGUAGGUGGGUUGGUAAGUCAGUGGUGAAAUCUCCGAGCUUAACUUGGAAACUGCCAUUGAUACUAUCAGUCUUGAAUAUUGUGGAGGUUAGCGGAAUAUGUCAUGUAGCGGUGAAAUGCUUAGAUAUGACAUAGAACACCAAUUGCGAAGGCAGCUGGCUACACAUAUAUUGACACUGAGGCACGAAAGCGUGGGGAUCAAACAGG
rnacentral:rRNA from 1 species